ACAUAUAGCUACAAAUAAGGGGUAAUAUCAAAAGACAAUGCAUAAAUAUAUAACGUACUUAAUAAAUUAGAGAUAACCUUAAGCAGCAAACAACGGAAGAUAACUCCAACUUCGGGUAUUAACUCCACUCUACAGGAUCGAACUGACUGGUUGAUCACAAGCCUAAACUUCUCCUGAGGUUUGAGGGAAAUAGCAAGAGUGAGUCCAUGUCGAACUCUACAAGUAUAGCAACUAGAUUGUACAGCUCCCACAAUCUCAUGAUCAAUGUGACAUAAAUAAUGUAAAGCAUUAAAUAAUAAAUAAUGAGCAUAUUUAACACACAGGAAUCAUCACCCUUAAUGUAGAUGUCCCCAAGGCCGCUCCUGACCGUGAGCUCGGCUAGUAUACUAGUUUUUAACCCUCUGCAGAGGUUGCACAUCUUUACCCAUGAGUCAUGAUUUACCCUUUCGCCCGAGGUAGCUAGUCUCUUAACCCCCUUCCUAGGGAGGUCGGCAGGGAUCACUAUGAAGUCUUUCCAAGGUUCGUCUAACAAGUUAGGGCCGCUUGGUUUCAUUAGUCAGUCCGUGUAAUUUACCCGCAGGAAUCCACGGUCUACUAUUCCCCAAUUGCGCCACAACGGGUAACCGCUAACGAGCUAGAAAAGUUACUCAUACUUAACUAAAGCCAGAGCCAUUAUAGCCCUCAUGGUUGCACUGUUGUCCUGGGUGAUCACGUACAGACAAAUCAUCAAGUUGCUAAAAAAGUCAUUUUUAUCAUUUAUUACUUAACAUUAAUCUAGUCACAGGAUCACGGGUCACAGAAAUAUAAUCCAAAUUCUAUACUUGCCUUAAUCCAGAUGCUCUUGCUUAUCCUUUUGUUUCUGCUGGUCUCCUUGUCCAAGGCUCUGAUCUUGACCACCGAAAACUGCUCUCCGUCUAAACUCGAUCAUCGAUCACACAAACAAUCGGAGAAAGCAUACACGAGCAAACAAAGCUACAAUUAGAACAGUACACCAAUCAUAUGAAAACAGUAUGAAAAGUUAUAAAAUGACUCUACGCAUCGCUACGAUCUCAUAGACGUAAAGAUCACGAAAAUCGGAGUUGAAACGGAGAAGAUAUGAAUUUUCUAAGAUUUCUUAUAGAUAAAUAAUUAAUUAAAUAGGAUCACGAAAUUAGAAAGUUUCAAACUGAGUAAAUAAUUUUACUAACAUGUAGAGAUCAUGAUUAUGAACCUAACGCAAUUUGAAUGAGUCAAAACGGAGUUAAGAUGAAUAUUUUAUGAGCAAAACUAAUUCAAUGGCAAUUCUGUAAUUUCUGGAAAACGUAUUCCAGCAGAACCGAUGGAAAAUACGCUUUCAAAGUCGAAAAGCGUAAACCGAGAAAGUGUUUUGGACCGCGGGUUAAGUCUUUAAAAAGAGCAGGGGUUCUUUAGCAAAUGUUACCCCGAAGGGGUAUCUUCUUUUGUGAGCCGUUGAUUUGUGAUCCAACGGAUGAGAUUCGAUCUGGGGGAAAGGGUCUGCCGCCGGCGGCCGGAACAGUGGUGCCCGCGGCGGACCACCAUUGUUGGCUUCGAGCUUCUCACCGGAGUUCGCUAAAACGACGCUGUGGUUCACCAAAAACGAAACCGAGGCCAUGGGGAGCAAGAGGGGGUUAACGCGAGCUCACCUAGGGCAGAAAACGAAGGCGAGGAGGUCUCGGAGAGGGCGUUCGCCGCGAGACGGCGGGCGACGGCUUCCUGUUCAAGUUCGACGGCGAGGUGAGAGCGUUAAAGCGCGAUAGAGAGUGAAAGAAUGGGCUCGGGAACUUUGUUACCUCGACGCAAAGCUCGGCACGGUCUUGAUUUCGCCAACACUGCAGCGGUUCAGGAGGCUCCACGACGGCGGCAAACUACAAGCUCGGCGAGAUCUAAAGCAUGGCGAAACAGGGCAAUUAGGGCUCCCCAACUGUGCUAGACGCGAAAGAAGAUCGCAGGGAGGAUUACCAGGCUUUUUAAGGGGGUCAAUCGGGCGCAUAAGGCAAUAACCCAGGGGAAAUCGGGAUUUGGUUUUGCUCCCGGCCGUGUCCGGCUGAUUCACGGCGUGGGGAAGGAGAUGAAGCCGGCCGACAUGCGGGGCCCGGCUGGCGGUGAGAGUGGAAAGGAGAGAAAGGGGAAUCAGGGGCGCGCGCGGCUUGGGCCGUCUGCUGGGCUGAUCUGCGGGUUGGGCCGUAGGGGAAAGAAAAGGGUAGCGGGGGGGGGGAAAGCUGGGCCGCGGGGAAGGCCAGGAGGCUGGGCCUCGGCCGAAAGGCCACCAGGUAGGCCUUCUCCUCUAUUUCUUCUUUUUUUUUCCAAAACAGUUUUCCAAAAUCAUUUUUAAAUCAUUUUAAAUCUUAGGUUCAAAUACACUCAUCUCAAAAAAAUAAAUUCUCCAGCAUGAAUGCACAACCAGAUUACUAAUCCUAUGAUGAAUUAUAUUUUAAUGAAAAAUAUUAUUCUUCCUAUAUUCUUAUGAGCACAAAAAAAUUCAAAAGUAAACCAUUUUUCACCUAUUUUAAAAUGAGCAAAUUUUUGGGGUGUUACAAGAUCACCAAGCCAUAUCACCUUAGUGAAACCCAACAGUGCAUCAAUUAGUAGUAAAAAUAUGUUGAAAAAGGAACAUAUAACAAGGGAGAGGGCACAUGGAAAUAGCAAGCAGACUUACCCAUGCUUGAGCAGGUGUCCUUGGAU
rnacentral:lncRNA from 1 species